ACUUUAAGCUCCUGUUUUAGUAUAAUAACUCUUUUAGGGGAUUAUAACUUGGACUUCCAAUAUGUCGACAUGGAUAAACAGCCUCAAGUCAACUUUGUAAGUGCUCCGUCACCAUGAUGUGUCGCUGUGGUACGAAAGGAUUAGGAUCAAGUUAUGCAGAUUGUUGAGAGCAAUAUGAUGAGGGAAGGCAGGAAAGAGUACCUGAGUCAUAUAGUCUGGUAAAACACAGAAAGAAAGGUUCUCUUAACAUAGAAAGUAAAGAAAUAAUGAAGUUCACACUACAGUUGACAAUCUGGAUGUGUUUCCUUUGUUAUUUGAGCAUGAUUUAUUUUAACUUACAUAACAAGUAUGCACUGCAAUAAUGAAUAUCUAUAUUAAUAGUAAUGAUAUUCCAUUAAACAUGGAUAUGGAAAAAAUAUUCUUUGACAGUGCAAGAUCUAUAAGAUAAAUCCAGAGUAGUCAGAGUCUUCAGUUAACUUGGAUGUGUUCCAUUUGUUUCAUCCACAUACUUGAAAUGUGUCUUGUAACUACAUGUAUUUUAUGAGGUUAAGUAGUGAGUAAUCAACAUUUUCUUAUUUGGGGAAAGUAUGUAUAGUAUGUUGACACUAUGUGUGCCUUCAUUCUCUUCAUUUUUCUGUACGAAACCAGACCAAAUGUGUCAUUUUAGUUUAACCAUUUUAAACUGUAUUUAUUAUACUCUUAAUUGAAUAGCCAUUCGUAUAUUAUCAAACAUUUUAACAAAUUUAAAUGGUUUGUUAUUUUGAUUAUAUUGUAUCGGUGUCAUAGGGUACAUGUCCAUUCCUAGCCAUCAAGAUAAAACAGAUAUAUUCUUUGUUGUAAAAUGUGUUCUUUAUGCAUAUACAUAUAAAGUGGCCACAGAGAACUCAACACUUAGCAUUUUUCUUAAAAAAUAUCUAAGGGUUUUCCUGCAUGUGAUCGCUACAUUCAGUGUACCUCAUGUCAUAUAAUACAUUAUAUAUGAUCAAUAAAACAGA